rnacentral:lncRNA from 1 species
CUUGGUCAUGCUUUCCUUUGUAAUUUGUCUCCCUCUUUCUUUCUUUUUCCAAAGAAACCACAUAAACCACUCAAAAAUGGGAUUGCUCCACCUAUCCUCAUUUCUUUUCUACUCAUUACUACAUUAACUGUGAGUAAAUUGAGUUCUUUCAUUAAAUAUAUCUAAGUCUAGGAAAUUGCAACAUUGAGACUCGUUUUCCCAUUUGAAACACUUGGACGUGGCUUCAGUGGUCUUCAUUGGCCUUUGUGAAGCUGGUUGAAAAUGAUGUUUGGGGAAGUCUUGGCAGCUAAGUGCCUUGGUGGUUCCUGACAGGUCUCUGUGACUUUACCAUCGCGCACCCAACAGGAAACCUGAAUAAGAGCUGCAGAUGAGCAAAGUCCAACAGCGGGUCUUAG